rnacentral:lncRNA from 1 species
UUGCUAAUGUCAUCACUAAAAUAGUUAUUAGCAAUGGCUAGAAUGUUCGUCGCUAAUAAAGAUAAUUAGUGACAAGGAUUUUUCUGAUCACUAAUUAGCGAUGAGGUGCCAUCGCUAAUAGUAUUAACGAUGGUAAAAUGACUAUUAGCAAUAGUAAUUAGCAAUAUUUGAAAGUAUUCCAAUUUUUAUAGUCAUUCAACACUUAGGCUCGGACAACGUUCAGCGGCAUGUAGUUUGUGAACCUCCUAGGUGGAGACACACGUCGCUCUUCUCUAAAGAAAUUCUUUUGCUGGUGGUUGUACGAGGG